UCUUCCGCAAUGGGCGAAAGCCUGACGGAGCAAUGCCGCGUGGAGGCGGAAGGCCUACGGGUNGUCAACUUCUUUUCUCGGAGAANNCCNNNUNACGGUAUCGGAGGAAUAAGCAUCAGCUAACUCUGUGNNNGNAGCCGCGGUAAGACAGAGGAUGCAAGCGUUAUCCGGAAUGAUUGGGCGUAAAGCUUCUGUAGGUGGCUUUUUAAGUUCGCCGUCAAAUCCCAGGGCUCAACCCUGGACAGGCGGUGGAAACUACCAAGCUGGAGUACGGUAGGGGCAGGGGGAAUUUCCGGUGGAGCGGUGAAAUGCGUAGAGAUCGGAAAGAACACCAACGGCGAAAGCACUCUGCUGGGCCGACACUGACACUGAGAGACGAAAGCUAGGGGAGCGAAUGG
rnacentral:rRNA from 1 species